AUUGAACGCUGGCGUCAGGCUUAACACAUGCAAGUCGAGCGCGCGGCGGACGGGUGAGUAAUUUCUGGGCAACUGCCUGAUGGAUGGGGAUAACUACUGGACACGUUAUCUAAUACCGCAUCCCAUCAGAUGUGCCCAGAUGGGAUUGGCUAGUAGGUGGGGUAAUGGCUCACCUAGGCGACUAUCCCUAGCUGGUCUGAGAGGAUGACCAGCCACACGGGAACUGAGACACGGUCCAGACUCCUACGGGAGGCAGAAGUGGGGAAUAUUGCACAAUGGGCGCAAGCCUGAUGCAGCCAUGCCGCGUGUGUGAAGAAGGCCUUCGGGUUGUAAAGCACUUGCAGCGAGGAGGCGUUACUAGCAGAAGAAGCACCGGCUAACUCCGUGCCAGCAGCCGCGGUAAUUC
rnacentral:rRNA from 1 species